rnacentral:rRNA from 1 species
AGUGAACGCUGGCGGUAGGCCUAAUACAUGCAAGUCGAACGGCAGCACAGUAAGAGUUUGCCCUUACGGGUGGCGAGUGGCGGACGGGUGAGGAAUACAUCGGAAUCUACUUUUUCGUGGGGGAUAUCGUAGGGCAACUUACGCUACUACCGCAUACGACCUACGGGUGAAAGCAGGAGUUCUUCGGACCUUGCGCGAUAGAAUGAGACGAUGUCGGAUUAGCUAGUUGGGGGGGUAAAGGCACACCAAGGCAACGAUGCGUAGCUGAUCUGAGAGGGUGAUCGGCCACACUGGAACUGAGACACGGUCCAGACUCCUACGGGAGGCAGCAGUAGGGAAUUUUCCGCAAUGGGCGAAAGCCUGACGGAGCAACGCCGCGUGAGUGAUGAAGGUCUUCGGAUUGUAAAACUCUUUUAUUAGGGAAGAAAAAAUGUGUAAGUAACCACGCACGUCUUGACGGUACCUAAUCAGAAAGCCCCGGCUAACUACGUG